rnacentral:rRNA from 1 species
UACGUAGGGAGCAAGCGUUGUCCGGAAUCAUUGGGCGUAAAGCGCGCGUAGGUGGCUUCGUAAGUCCGUUGUGAAAGUCAAAGGCUCAACCUUUGAAAGCCGAUGGAUACUGCGGAAGCUAGAGUACGGAAGAGGCGAGUGGAAUUCCUGGUGUAGCGGUGGAAUGCGCAGAUAUCAGGAGGAACACCAAUAGCGAAGGCAGCUCGCUGGGACGUUACUGACACUGAGGCGCGAAAGCGUGGGGAGCGAACAGG